UCAUGAACGGCGUCGUGGAUUCGGCGUGAACAAAGGCGGUUCGUGGAUUCGGAUCGUUGGCUCGUGGAUUCGAGUGGCGUCGUGGAUUCGGCGUGAUUGAAGCUUCGUGGAUUCGAAGUGGAGGCGUUCGUGGAUUCGAACGUGAGGGCGUGGACAACCCGGAGGGUAGCGCGAAGAUUCAUAGGAGGUUAAGAGAGGUUGAGUCCGUGGAGUCGGUAAUCACCUUGUAAUCUUUUCUCUUAGUGAAUUAUUUUUUCGCGUGUUGGUCCCGUGGGUUUUUCUCCAAGUUGGAGUUUUCCCACGUAAAUCUCGGUGUGCUUUUUAUUUUCCGCAUUUAUUUUUAUUGCAUCGAGAUUUGUGGUUUUUGGCCGUUCACCUAUUCACCCCCCUCUAGGUGAUAGAUACAAUCUAGAUAGAUCCUUGGGCUCCUCAAAACUUUCAAUUGGUAUCAGAGCGGGAUCUAGAUAAAUUGUUAUCUAAUGGCCGAAGGUGGUAACAUUAAUCGACCUCCGCUCUUCGACGGCACGAAUUAUGCCUAUUGGAAAGUUCGCAUGAGAGCUUUUCUAAUUGCUAUCGAUGAGCGAGUUUGGCAAUCUAUUGAAUUUGGGUGGAAACAUCCGAUAGAAAAGGUCGAUAAUGUUGAAAAGCCAAAACCACGGAACAAAUGGACGAAAGAAGAAAACGAGUCAUCUUCGUUUAACGGCAAGGGCAUAAACUCUUUAUUUAAUGCAUUGUCUCAAACGGAGUUUACUCGUGUUUCGGCAUGCGAAACGGCAAAAGAAAUUUGGGAUACUCUACAAGUUACGCAUGAAGGAACAAGCUUAGUAAAGGUCCAAAAAUUGCAAAUGCUAACUAGCAAGUUUGAUUCAAUUUCUAUGGACGAAAAUGAGACCUUUACCGAGUACUAUACACGUCUACAAGAUGUUGUGAACACAUGUGCUAACUUGGGAGAGAAAAUCCCGGAUUCAAAGGUUGUUAGGAAAAUCCUUCGCACUCUUCCGGAACGUUUUCGGGCUAAAGUAGCCGCGAUCGAAACGGUCAAACAUCCGGACGAGAUGAAAGUAGAAGAAUUAGUAGGAGCUUUGCAAACGUAUGAGAUGACUUUUCCUACUAAUCAAUCUUCUUCCAAGUCUUUCUCUAAAAGCACAGGGGUUGCAUUGAAAUCUACAAAGGAGAAGGACGAAGACUCGAGUUCCGACGACGAGUUAUCAAUUGCGGAUUUUGAACAUCAAUUAGCGCUCCUCACGAAGAAGUUUCGUCGAAAUUUCCGGAACAAGAAUAGAUUGGACAAGGCUUCAUCGUCUAAGCGACAAUCUUUGUCUAAAUCAUCUUCAUCUUCAAAGUCUAAGGAUAAAAACCGUGCAAAGUCUUCAAAGGAAAAGGAUGAAUUUGAAGGAGAGAUCCAAUGCUACAAAUGUAAAGGUUUUGGCCACAUUGCGACGGAUUGUCCUUCGAAGAAGACGUAUAGACAAAAGGCUAUGCAAGCAAAGACGUGGGAUGAUUCAACAUCAAGUGAAUCAUCGUCAAGUGACGAAGAAAAGAAUGAUCAAAUUGCCUUAUUUGCUAAUACUCCUUCGUCGAAUGUUGUGUGUUUAUCCUCUUUUGCUACUAACUCCAAUAUUUCUCUUUCUUCACAUGAUUCAUCGAGCAACAAUGGCGAAAGUGAGGAGGAAUCAAACGACGACGACAUAGCGGAAGCGUACAAUCAACUUCUCAUUGAAUCAAAGAAGAUGGCUAAACUCAACAAGAAGUUGAGACGUCGUUUGUUGGAACUUGAGGAGGAAAACAACAACGUAAAGAAUUUGAAUAAGGUUCUUGAGGAGGAAAGGGAUUCAAACUUGAAGAUUAAUUCGGACCUCCAAGAGAAGCUUAAUGAUGCGGAAUCAACGAUCAAAUCUUCUAACGACAAGAUUGGAUUUUUGGAGCAACAAUUUGAUGAAUCGCACAAGUCCAAUCAAGUCUUGACCGAUCAAGUUCGUCAACUCCAAUCCGAUCUUCAACAAUUUUCUUCGGGAUCAAAGAAGUUGGACAAAAUGCUUGGAUUGGGUCAAACGAGCAAAUUGGGCCUUGGAUAUGAACGGACAUAUGUUGAGAAGGAUCAAACGGCGACAUCUAAAGUCUCAACAACUUCAAAAGACAAAGUGUGUCAUCGAUGUGGCAUCGAAGGACACAUCAAAAGGAAUUGCCCAAACAAAAAUGGCAAGUCACAAUCGGCAAAUUCAAAACAUCCAUCGGCGUCAUCUACUAUUCGACAUCCCCCACGGAAUCAAAAGCAAAAUAAUUUAAGUCGAGUGCCUCAAAAGAAUCGGACUUCUAAGCCUAAACGCCAAGUUCUACCUAAGCCUCAAGCGAAGAAAACACCAACGAUUGAUCAAAAAUCUAAGCAAACGGCACCAAACGUCGACAAGCCGAGAAAACCAAAGAUCCGACAAGUUUGGAUCCGGAAAGGUGAUAUCUUUCCUUGCUCCUCGUCUUAGUCAUUUUUGAUCUUUAGUGUAAUGCUUUGAUUGGUGCUUGUUGUUUAAUUUUAUUCAUUGCAUUACAUGUUUGAAUGAUUUUUGGUGCAUUGAAUUUUUGUUUAUUUAAAAAUCUUUUUGAGGAAGAGGUGUUUGGAAAAUUCAAAUCUUUGAGAAAGGAGAUGAUUGAGAAUCGUUUUUGGAGAGAAAGUUUUUUUUAAAAAAAAAAUUGUUUAAACGGGUUUUAUCUUCACAAUCAUAUUAAGUUAAAUUCAUAUUAAUUAUCGUCUUUACUCCACUAUUUAUUAUUUUGACGAUAAUUUAUUAUAUGAUUUCUUAUUGCAUAAAUUCAUCAAAAUUUUGAAAUCAAAUUUGAUUUUUUGGUGAUUAAUUCAUCUUGGUUGUGAGUGUUGGAUAUGAUGAAUGGAUAUUCUCUAAUUGACUAAAAUUCGUCAAAAUUAUUUUCAAUUGUGAGAUUGUCUAAUUUAGGGGGAGUUUGAAAUUGUUUAAAAAUAAAAAAAAAGAGAAAAAGAAACUCCUAUGUUUAAAAGAUGUGGAAAGAGUUACAUCCAAAAGGAGUGUGAAAACUACCACCACAUGUAGGAAAGAGCUACCACCCCGGUCGUCCGGCAAGUGUGUGAAGCUACCACAUGGAAUUUAAUUGAAAAAGCCGAAAAAGGUUGAAAAAAAAUAAAUAUAAGUAUAUUAGAAUUUUCGGAGUUAUAAGGUGGUAAGUUGAAAAGAUGCUCAAAGAGCCACCCCCGGUGCCAUAUUAGUUAAAUCUCUAUUUUGAACGUGUUACGACAAAUUGGUGUCAAUUUUUGUUGAAUUUCUAAAAAUCAUUUUUCAUCAACUUACAUCUUGAUGGUUUUGAAUCAUUAAAUUAUUUUUGAUAAUGAAAUUUUGAUGUUUUGAUGUAUUUUGAAAUUUUAUAAUAUCUUAUUGUCAUUAUAAUGAUUCUUGGAGUAAAAGCCUUAAAUUAUUUGAAAUUAAUUUAAUUUGAUGGAUUUUUAAAGAAAAUUUUUCGAAAUAUGAGAUUCUUUGUUGAGCUUAGUCUCUUUCUUUCACUGCAUUUGAUGUUUAGGACGAUAUUUUAGAUUUGCUUGCUUAUCUUUCUGUAGCAUAUUUUUACUUUUGUUUUAGGCCUGUAACUAUGUCUAGACUACUCUCAUAUUUUUCUAGUAUGUUUUCUCUUUCUAUUUGCUUUCUUUUGGCAAUUUUUGACAAAAAGGGGGAGAGCGUAGACGAAGGGGGAGAGCAUGGAUGAACAGGCAUUGAACUGAAGCAGAGGAUGAUGAGUUCAAGAACAAAGGGGGAGAUGUGAACAAAGGGGGAGAAGGAAAUCAAGACUUCAAGAGUCAUAGAGUCUGUUUUAGGAGUUUUGAUGUAAUUUUGAGUUUCAAAUUGUAUUUGGAUUACACGCGAGGGGUUCGAUGUUUUGGUGAUGACAUUGAACUUCGUUUUUUCUUUAAAUUGUAAUUUGUGAGUUUAUGUGUGUUUUGUCACGAAAUUGCCAAAGGGGGAGAUUGUUAGGUCCUAUGUGUUGGCAAGUUUCGUGGGUCGAGUCGGAGUCUUGAAGAAGUCCGGAGCGGAGUAUUAAAGAUCGAAGAAUCCAAGACUUCGAAGAAUCCAAGACUUCGAAGAAUCGGAAAGGACGCAAAACACGUAAAACAUGAAUCACGAUGCUUAGGUAAGCUUUAAAUCAUGUUUAUGGUGAUUCAUAUUUAAUUAUAGGUUUUAGAAUCAUGUUUUCAAGUUGUAAUUGAUUAGAAAGUUUCUAAGAGCUUGUAAAACCCGAAACAAUGCAUUUUCAGCGAAAAUUGCAUUGUUGUACCGGUACAAGGGUUUUCUGUCCAGGGUACAGUCAUCAGCGUUUGCGCAGAAAGAUUGAUGGUUGUUCCGGUACAACCUUCACGCUGUACCGGUACAAGCCCUGUUCCGGAACAAGCUGCAGCCUAUCCAGGGUAUAGAAGCUUCACAGAAAAAUCUUCCGUCAUGCUGUACCCUGGACAGCUUUCCUUGUUCCGGUACAAGGUGCUGAUUUUGCAAAGAAACUUUCUAAUCUUACUCCGUUUUGAUUCUAAAGUUUAUAAAUAAGCUAUAGGGGUUCUCUAACUAAUUAAGCAUUAUAAGAAUACAUGUUUGAGAAACCCUAGAGACUCGGAUUUUAUUCUAAACCUAUUUUCUACAAAUUAGCCUCUUUAGAUCAAAUCGAGAUAACGUUUCGCAUUCGCUAUAUGUCGAUUUGAUCUAGUUUUCGCUUGGAGUUUUCUUCCUUGGUUUUCUACGAUACUCCUAAGCGAAGGAUCACCACACACAUGAUGUUCUUCAUGAACGGCGUCGUGGAUUUGACGUGAACGAAGGCGGUUCGUAGAUUCGGAUCGUGGGCUCGUGGAUUCGAGUGGCGUCGUGGAUUCGGCAUGAUUGAAGCUUCGUGGAUUCGAAGUGGAGGCGUUCGUGGAUUCGAACGUGAGGGCGUGGACAAGCCGGAGGGUAGCGCGAAGAUUCAUAGGAGGUUAAGAGAGGUUGAGUCCGUGGAGUCGGUAAUCAUCUUGUAAUCUUUUCUCUUAGUGAAUUAUUUUUUUUCCCGUAUUGGUCCCGUGGGUUUUUCUCCAAGUUGGAGUUUUUCCACGUAAAUCUCGGUGUGCUUUUUAUUUUUCGCAUUUAUUUUUAUUGCAUCGAGAUUUGUGGUUUUUGGCCGUU
rnacentral:lncRNA from 1 species